UCAACGUUUUUUUUUUUUUUUUUUUUUGAACAUGUGUAUGGCAACAAGCUUUACGCUACGAAAGCCAAUUUCGGUGGCAAAGAGAGGAAUAUCUCGGUCGACUGUAGAAUCGGUAACGACUCUAGGUUAUAUAUUUCAGUCGAUAACAAAAGGGUUCUGCAGAUCAAGCAUUUGAAAUGGAAGUUCAGAGGCAAUGAGAGAAUUGAAGUUGAGGGAGUGAAUGUACUGGUUUCAUGGGAUGUAUACAACUGGUUGUUUGAAGAAGAUCGAGAACAUGGCUAUGCAUUAUUCACAUUCAGAUUUGAAGAUGAUGAAGAUUUCAACAACAAUAAUAUGGGGAAUGUGAUUUGGUCCCAACAGUCGUUUGGAUUUGGAUUUGAAACCAAGAAAAUGAAGAAGGGUUUGUUGAGAUCGGCUGGGAGUUCAUCAUCUUCGUCAUUGUCAUCAGUUUCUUCAAGUUGCAGCUCUGUUAUGGAAUGGGCAAGUAAGGAAGAGAAUGAAUUGAAGGUUCCCUCUGGAUUUUCUUUGCUGAUUUAUGCUUGGAAAAGCUGAAGAUUUUUUUCUUUAUUUUUCAUUUUUCACUAACCCAUUUGUUCAUGAACAUAAUGAAAUCAAUAAAAAAGAUUUAUCAGAAUUUCAAGAACUGAUAGCUUAUAUAGAUCUAACAUACAUGUGUUGAUUCACUUUCCCUGUUUGUUUCUGGCUUUCUGUAGUGUACCAAAGUUGUAACAGUAAACCGAUUGAUGAAGAAAAAAUUGUCAUUUUUAAUUAGUUUAAUUGAUUUACAAUAGCAUUUAUUUCCAGGUUUGAGUUUGAAUUUCUCCAACAUUGUCUUGUUAAUGGACUGCACGAACGUGCAUUGAACAUCAAUGUCUCUUUAUCGUACACAACUAUUUAUGUAAAAAUAGCAUCUUCUCUUGUAAUAAAUUUUCUCCACCCGUUGGAAUUUAAGGUGCC
rnacentral:lncRNA from 1 species